UACGUAGGGUGCAAGCGUUAAUCGGAAUUACUGGGCGUAAAGCGUGCGCAGGCGGCUUUGCAAGACAGAUGUGAAAUCCCCGGGCUUAACCUGGGAACUGCAUUUGUGACUGCAUGGCUGGAGUGUGGCAGAGGGGGAUGGAAUUCCGCGUGUAGCAGUGAAAUGCGUAGAUAUGCGGAGGAACACCGAUGGCGAAGGCAGCCCCCUGGGCUAACACUGACGCUCAUGCACGAAAGCGUGGGGAGCAAACAGG
rnacentral:rRNA from 1 species